rnacentral:lncRNA from 1 species
GCUGCAAUUGCUUGCGCUACAAUAUGCUACAAUUGUUUUGCCCUAUACAGCAGUUCGUGGGAAGGAAAUCACGAUGCUACGCAAGUGCUAAGCUGCUUCAAAAGAGAAAACUUUACAAACAGCAGAAAACACUGUCCAGCCGAGGGUUCUUGUGNUAAUGUGAAAGAAUUUGAGGCCAUCCUGGGCUCGCUACGAAUUUGGACNUCUGUCAGUCCCAGCCAGAAUGGCCAGACCCAAUGCAUCUUCCACAGACCUGUUGACCUCUGGGGGAUUCUGACCACAACUCUCAUCAGCUCCAACCAACACAGCCAGUUGUCAACAUCAGUCAGUUGUGGAGUCUCAAAACAUCUGGAGAACUCCAGCUUGGUAAGUCCUGGCUUAAGCUCCAGAAGAAAAUCACCUGUUUCUUCCUUGGGUCAGAUGAGGCGCAAGCCAUCCGCUCCUGGCAGAAUGCAAGCAAAGGCCGUGAUAGAACAAGUACAGCUGUCUCACUGGUUCUGAAGUUUGGGUCCCCAGGUAUUGGACUAUGGCAAGAUCUACCCAGAAUCUGCUCCCACGCAUGGUCCUUCUGUGGAGUCGUGAAAACAGGCCUGAUUUGUUCCUGCAGCUCCUAUGCAGAAGGCCAGCAGUUGCUGGAGUGAGCAACCUGUCUACCNAAUGCGGAUAUAAGAAGUCUCCAAAAAUAGCCUGCUUCUGAGGCCAUUGCUGGUGCUUCGCGUCAUGACCCCAUUGGAAACCUCGAUGCCAGGGAACUUUCAUUUCCCUGCCCUCAAGGUUUGCAUAGGUCAGGAUGUGAGGACCAAGUGGCAUCCCUCCACCCUGCCCCAUGGCAAAAGUAAGUGCUCCAGUCUAAUAGUAAAAUACCUCCUGUGCCCGUGUGGAUCUUGCCUAUAAUUCCUAUGAAUCCCAGUGAUUCUGGCCAACAGUAAGGAACUAUGGGAAAUGCAGUUCAGUAGUGUUUGGGGACCCAAAUUUGGGAGCCAGUGAGGUAGCUCCUGGGCAACCUUAAAUAUCAAGGCUGCUCCAACUUGAUGAUGGGAGGUGGGGUUCAGCAACACCUUGGUAGGCCCAUCUGUAGAUCCUCAUCUCAAGGAAGCCUGUGGGAAAACAGAUCCCUCAAAAGGGAGAUGAGAUGGUUCUCCUGACGCUGGCCGCGGUAUGUAUUACUCUGUCGAAAGAACUAGAGACGUGUUCAGCUUCGGCAUAAAGCCAAAACCUGGACGUCAAAGCCCUGUUUAUCGGUUCAUCUUUCACACUGUCUUCCCACGCUUCCCAGCAAAAAGAGGGGUGCGUUGUAUUAUUGUCCUCUGUUCACAGCAGCCUUUUAAAAUGUGUACUCAUUA